CUCUUUCUUCUUCUUCUUCUUCUUUAUUCGGCCUGGGUUUUUCCUUGCUUUGAGAUCCGUGCCUCACUUGUGAACCAGACCUUGAACCGGGUUUAAACUGUGAACCGGUUCCACCUACUCCGUGAAUUGGGUUUGAUCUGGGUUUGAGUGAAUGGGUUUUGAUUAGGGUCUAAAUCUGAGUCAGGAAUUUGGGUUAGCCUGAUGUGAGGAUAAUCUGGUUCAUUAAGAUUUGAUCUGAUCUGGUCUGAUCAGAUCUGGUUUGGGCUAGGGAACUGUUCUUGGGCUGAGUUGGGCCUGAUUGGAUCUGUGGGCUGGUUUGGGUUGGGCCCGAAAUCUGAUCUGAACCUGUUAUCUGGUUUGGUUCAAUUGGGCCUAAUCUGUGUUGGGCCACAAUUGACUUGGGUUUAAAGGGUUCUGAUUUUAGGGUCUAUGUUUGAUCUUAGGGGCCCAUUCUUGGAUCUAUGAACUUAGGAGUUUAAGGAAUUGGAAAUAGUUUAAAAUUAUGUUUCUUAGUUAAUUAAAUAAUUAAUGUUUAUGUUUUAAACAGGGGUUCGUGAUAUAUGUGACAGGGAUUCUUAAGCGAACCCAGGUGAUGAUAUAUGAUUAUGGGGAUUACGGGACGGAGUGAUCAUGAUGUAGUUAGCUAGUGGAUAUAGACUUUCUCUUUUGACUUAUGUAUAUAUGGACAUUUGAUCUGAAAACUGGAAUUUAUUUUUAAUUA